rnacentral:rRNA from 1 species
UGCCAGCAGCCGCGGUAAUACGUAGGGGGCUAGCGUUGUCCGGAAUUACUGGGCGUAAAGGGUGAGUAGGUGGUCAUUAAAGUCAGAUGUAAAAGGCAAUGGCUCAACCAUUGUAAGCAUUUGAAACUUAAUGACUUGAGUGCAGGAGAGGUAAAUGGAAUUCCUAGUGUAGCGGUGAAAUGCGUAGAUAUUAGGAAGAACACCAGUGGCGAAGGCGAUUUACUGGACUGUAACUGACACUGAGUCACGAAAGCGUGGGGAGCGAACAGGAUUAGAUA